rnacentral:rRNA from 1 species
UACGGAGGGUGCAAGCGUUGCUCGGAAUUAUUGGGCGUAAAGGGUAGGUAGGUGGUCUUAUUUGUCUGGGGUGAAAGCCUUGAGCUUAACUCAAGAAGUGCCCCAGAAACGGUAAGACUGGAGUCCUAGAGAGGGUCGUGGAAUUCCCGGUGUAGCGGUGAAAUGCGUAGAGAUCGGGAGGAACACCAGAGGCGAAAGCGGCGACCUGGAUAGGUACUGACACUCAACUACGAAAGCGUGGGGAGCAAACAGG